GAGGUUCCCUCUUUCAGCUUGGAGCCCGCCUCCCUCAGUCUCAGAACAGGGGGAGCCUCUUCCUUCCUUCUUUCUUGUCUAUUAAAUUCUCCACUCCUUAAAACCACUCCACGUGUGCCCAUGUUGUUUUAUUCAAACCAGUGGGAGACCAAGGACCCUAGUGUUCCUCCAGUCAUCAGAGCCAUACCAUUUUGUUGCAUUGGCCGGGAAUCCAAGGUACGACACUCAUCGGAGUGAUGGGUAACAGAUCGUCUUCUCUGCACUCCAACCUGGGUGACAGAAUGAGGCUUCAUCUAAAAAAAUUAAUAUAAUGAAUCACAUUAAUAGAAUAAAGAAGAAAACCCACAUAAUCAUGUAAACGCACAAAAACCACUAUCUGAAAUCCAUUACUUUUCAUGAUAAACUAGGAAUUAAAAGGUGCCUAUAAGCAACCCAUUACAA
ensembl:lncRNA novel transcript